GUGCUCGCUUCAGCAGCACAUAUACUAAAAUAGGAACAAUACAGAGAAGAGUAACAUGGCCCCUGUGCAAGGAUGACAUGCAAAUGCAUGAAGCGUUCCGUAUUUUU
ensembl:snRNA U6 U6 spliceosomal RNA